GUACGGGUUAAGUACGAGUUCCAGUAAAGUACUAUUGAAAUAGUAUUACAAGCCUCUUCAUUACUACAAUACAUAACAAAUUGGCGACGAGGUUGCUGCUUGAUGUACGAAGAUGGCUUUUGCUUCUACGCCGUUUCCACCGCCUUUUCUACCUUGCCCGGCUGAGCCGCCUAUUCCUCUCGUUACAUGGGAAAAGAUGUUCCAGAACUAUCUACUGGUAGUUGGUGCCACGGGGGAUGCAUGGACGGAGGUGAGAAAAAAGGCACUCUUGCUGCACAGUCUUGGAACAGAGGGCCAGAGACUGUUUUAUACGCUUCCAACCCAAGGUACGACGAUGGAUGAAGCCCUUACGGCUCUGAAAGCUCACUUUAAUCCAAAAAGGAAUGAGGUUGCUGAACGACAUGCCUUCAGAAAGAGAGCUCAGAAUCCAAAUGAAACUAUCCUGCAGUAUGUUGCUGUCCUACGAGAUUUAGUUGUUACAUGCGAGUUUGCUGACAAGCAGGAUGAAAUGAUAAGGGACCAGUUGGUGGAACACGUUUCUAGUCAACGCAUACGAGAACGCCUGCUCCUAGAGUCUAAAUUGACAUUGGAGAAAGCAAUCACAAUUGCCACUCAAAUUGAAGCUGCUAUAGUGCAGGCCAAAUCGAUCUCUGCCAUUGCUGCGGCUCCUGUUGCCGCUGUACAUACGAAACCUACAGAGGGUCGAAAUCGUUUCCGUAACUCUCACUCUAUGAAACCUACUACUGCUCACAAUUCAGGACAUGCUACUGCCUCUACGUCUUCACGUGCAUGCUAUCGAUGUGGUUCUGACAAACAUAUGGCAAACCACAAGAACUGCCCCGCUGCCACAGUCAAGUGUAAAAACUGUCAAAAGACUGGUCACUUCGCACGCGUCUGCCGCUCCACGCAGACACAGCAUGUGGAUUCAGUAGAGUUGCCUGAGAUUCAGAUCUUGUACUUACAUGAUAAUGCCAUGCCUGACAGAAUUCGAUGUAAAGCUAAUGUGAAAGCGCAAUCUGCUACUGCCACUAGAGAGUUCAUUGUGGACUCAGGUUCAUCAGUUUCCAUAAUACCGAAAUCACUUUAUGAGGCUAGAUUCAACCAUGCUACAUUGCAG
rnacentral:lncRNA from 1 species